rnacentral:rRNA from 1 species
GAUGAACGCUGGCGGCGUGCCUAAUACAUGCAAGUCGAGCGAACAGACGAGGAGCUUGCUCCUUUGACGUUAGCGGCGGACGGGUGAGUAACACGUGGAUAACCUACCUAUAAGACUGGGAUAACUUCGGGAAACCGGAGCUAAUACCGGAUAACAUGUUGAACCGCAUGGUUCAACAGUGAAAGACGGUCUUGCUGUCACUUAUAGAUGGAUCCGCGCCGCAUUAGCUAGUUGGUAAGGUAACGGCUUACCAAGGCAACGAUGCGUAGCCGACCUGAGAGGGUGAUCGGCCACACUGGAACUGAGACACGGUCCAGACUCCUACGGGAGGCAGCAGUAGGGAAUCUUCCGCAAUGGGCGAAAGCCUGACGGAGCAACGCCGCGUGAGUGAAGAAGGUCUUCGGAUCGUAAAACUCUGUUAUUAGGGAAGAACAAAUGUGUAAGUAACUAUGCACGUCUUGACGGUACCUAAUCAGAAAGCCACGGCUAACUACGUGCCAGCAGCCGCGGUAAUACGUAGGUGGCAAGCGUUAUCCGGAAUUAUUGGGCGUAAAGCGCGCGUAGGCGGUUUUUUAAGUCUGAUGUGAAAGCCCACGGCUCAACCGUGGAGGGUCAUUGGAAACUGGAAAACUUGAGUGCAGAAGAGGAAAGUGGAAUUCCAUGUGUAGCGGUGAAAUGCGCAGAGAUAUGGAGGAACACCAGUGGCGAAGGCGACUUUCUGGUCUGUAACUGACGCUGAUGUGCGAAAGCGUGGGGAUCAAACAGGAUUAGAUACCCUGGUAGUCCACGCCGUAAACGAUGAGUGCUAAGUGUUAGGGGGUUUCCGCCCCUUAGUGCUGCAGCUAACGCAUUAAGCACUCCGCCUGGGGAGUACGACCGCAAGGUUGAAACUCAAAGGAACUGACGGGGACCCGCACAAGCGGUGGAGCAUGUGGUUUAAUUCGAAGCAACGCGAAGAACCUUACCAAAUCUUGACAUCCUCUGACCCCUCUAGAGAUAGAGUUUUCCCCUUCGGGGGACAGAGUGACAGGUGGUGCAUGGUUGUCGUCAGCUCGUGUCGUGAGAUGUUGGGUUAAGUCCCGCAACGAGCGCAACCCUUAAGCUUAGUUGCCAUCAUUAAGUUGGGCACUCUAAGUUGACUGCCGGUGACAAACCGGAGGAAGGUGGGGAUGACGUCAAAUCAUCAUGCCCCUUAUGAUUUGGGCUACACACGUGCUACAAUGGACAAUACAAAGGGUAGCGAAACCGCGAGGUCAAGCAAAUCCCAUAAAGUUGUUCUCAGUUCGGAUUGUAGUCUGCAACUCGACUACAUGAAGCUGGAAUCGCUAGUAAUCGUAGAUCAGCAUGCUACGGUGAAUACGUUCCCGGGUCU